UAGGGAAUCUUCCGCAAUGGACGCAAGUCUGACGGAGCAACGCCGCGUGAGUGAAGAAGGAUUUCGGUUCGUAAAACUCUGUUGUUAGAGAAGAACAGCGCAUAGAGUAACUGUUAUGCGUGUGACGGUAUCUAACCAGAAAGCCACGGCUAACUACGUGCCAGCAGCCGCGGUAAUACGUAGGUGGCAAGCGUUGUCCGGAUUUAUUGGGCGUAAAGCGAGCGCAGGCGGUCAAUUAAGUCUGAUGUGAAAGCCCCCGGCUCAACCGGGGAUGGUCAUUGGAAACUGGUUCACUUGAGUGCAGAAGAUGAGUGUCGAUUUCCAUGUGUAGCGGUGCAAUGCGUAGAUAUAUGGAGGACCACCAGUGGCGAAGGCGACUCUCUGGUCUGUAACUGACGCUGAGCCUCGAAAGCGUGGGUAGCAAACAGG
rnacentral:rRNA from 1 species